UUUAGUUUUCGUUGCAUGCGGCUUUUCGCAUUGGCUAAUAUAACUCUGUCCUGUUAAGGUCACUGUUACCUUCUACAGAUAAAUGUGAGAGUUAAUGGUGGAAUCCUCAAGACCAACAUAAUUGUCCUGCCAAGGUAAUAACUGUUUCAUUAGCCCUUUGACUAGCUGUUUAACAAGAUGGAUGUGAGCUAGUGAAUGGUUUCUUCAAAAUCAGGUGUUACACAGUGUGGUAUCUGAUUUGAAAUUAUCCUCUGUGUCAACAAUACUAUGAGGCCGAUUGAGAGGAUUGUCAUUCAUUGGUGACAUCUUGAUUGCCAUGCUUUCUUGCCUGAGAUCACUUAUGGAUGGCAUUGGGGGAAAAUGCUCCUGUUUCUUCAAAACAAUGGAUAUACUUUAUUUGUAUCGAUCCUCAGUCGAGAAUUCAUUAGACAGAAGCUUUGUCUUUCAAAUUUUCUCCAAAAAGAAGAAAAGAAUUAGGAAGAUGAGAAAAAAAAUCACUUGAUACUUUAUUUGAACACCUGUCCUGUCUCUCUACUGAAAGGCUGUUGAUUUAUACCUGGUAAAUCUUCAAGUUGUGUUGGUCUUGUUUACCUCCAAAUGUUGUGGUAAUUUUACCUCUACCAAUAACUUAAUGGCUCCUUCAGAUAUGAAGAGCUAGUGCAAAUGAAUUUCACUGGAAAUUUCUUGGUUGAACUUGUCUGUGAGGUUACAGUGUGUGACUUUCUUUGCCAUCUAUAAAAGUGGGGGUGUUAGCAGGUGAUUUUUCUGCUCCCACAUGACUACAGGUUAAACAUGUUAUAUUAGGAACUAGCUAAAAUUAUAGCAAAGUUUUAAACUGUGUUUUUUUUGUAUAUCUCUCCAUAAACUAUUUUUUUAUCAGGAGCCCUUGGACUCUUCAAUAGAGUCACAGAAUGAGGUAAAAAUAAAAUAAAAUUUACUUUGAACCAA